CUCCCAGAACCUUAGAUUGAAAAUCCAGUUUUUUUCUCAAUAAUUAGAAAUCAUAGUUAGAAAUCGAAGAGGAACCUCACUCUCACAUCAAAGAUCGAAACUCACCAUCACAAAUUAUUCAUCGUCCUAACCGAAAUCAAAACGUAUGUAACAAUAGAAAUCUGAAGUAACCAUUUCCAUCGAGUAUCUUCUUUACCUCCAAACACAAGAGUUUCAGGUUUUCAGUUAAAUUUAAGCAUUGGGGUUUGUCAAUUUCGGGUGCGAGAGGAAAUUAUCUGAAUCUAUUAAAUGGAAGUUUCAGGGGGGCUAAAGCUUUUUUACCUGUCUUGCCUUAUGUGGCAAGAUAUAUGAUUAUCUUCUCAUGAUUCUCUUUCGAAUUGCUUGGAGUGUCUGCUGACCAGGACUAAUUUAUUUGGUGAUCUUAGUACGUAUUCCAUCAUGGUAGAUGAUGAUUGAAGAAGAAGGUCAUAUGAAGAGCUUUUGAUGAUGAUACGUUACGUGAAGAACAUGGAAUUAUGUUGGGAGUCAUCGUCGAUUUUGAAAAGAAUAGAACUUUUGUUUCUUGAGCCUUUGUGCCGUUGCAAGAUCUUUUUUUGUUCUUUUGUUUGUUCACUUUUACCUAGUUAGAUUGGCAGUAUCAGUCGGUACAUAUUUAGCUAGAUUGACCUUUGUGCUGU